UGGGGAAUUUUGGACAAUGGGCGCAAGCCUGAUCCAGCAAUGCCGCGUGCAGGAUGAGGGCCUUCGGGUUGUAAACUGCUUUUGUACGGAACGAAAAAGCUCUCUCUAAUACAGGGGGUGAAUGACGGUACCGUAAGAAUAAGCACCGGCUAACUACGUGCCAGCAGCCGCGGUAAUACGUAGGGUGCAAGCGUUAAUCGGAAUUACUGGGCGUAAAGCGUGCGCAGGCGGUUUUGUAAGACAGAGGUGAAAUCCCCGGGCUCAACCUGGGAACUGCCUUUGUGACUGCAAAGCUGGAGUACGGCAGAGGGGGGUGGAAUUCCACGUGUAGCAGUGAAAUGCGUAGAGAUGUGGAGGAACACCGAUGGCGAAGGCAGCCCCCUGGGCCUGUACUGACGCUCAUGCACGAAAGCGUGGGGAGCAAACA
rnacentral:rRNA from 1 species